GAUCCUGGCUCAGGAUGAACGCUGGCGGCGUGCCUAACACAUGCAAGUCGAGCGAAGCGGUUUUUGAGGAAGUUUUUCGGAUGGAAUUAAGACUGACUGAGCGGCGGACGGGUGAGUAACGCGUGGGUAACCUGCCUCAUACGAGGGGAUAACAGUUAGAAAUGGCUGCUAAUACCGCAUAAGCACACAGCUUCGCAUGGAGCAGUGUAGAAAAACUCCGGUGGUAUGAGAUGGACCCGCG
rnacentral:rRNA from 1 species